CACCUCGGUUAUUACUGUAAACUAAGGUGAAAGCGUUCGUGCCAAAACUCAUAAGGCGAUAUAAAGAUGGGAGUCGAUUAGGCUUGAUAAUUUUUCCAAGAAAAAUCCACGGGGAGCAACGCCGAUGUAUAGAUCUUAGAAUAUAAAAUACACUAGCAUUAAUGAAUGAGACAUAUCGUAAAUAAAAGUAA